rnacentral:rRNA from 1 species
GAUGAACGCUGGCGGCGUGCCUAAUACAUGCAAGUCGAGCGAAGCGGGGACGGGUGAGUAACACGUGGAUAACCUCCUAUACGACUGGGAUAACUUCGGGAAACCGGAGCUAAACCGGAUACUUCUAGUUGGAUCCGCGCGUCAUUAGCUGGUUGGUAAGGUAACGGAUUACCAAGUCAACGAUGCAUGGCCGACCUGAGAGGGUAGUCGGCCACCCUGGAACUGAGACACGGUACAGACUCCUACGGGAGGCAGCGGUAGGGAAUCGGACGCAAGGGGAGAAAGCCUGACGGGGAAACGCCGCGUGAGGUAUGAAGGUCUUCGGAUCGUAAAACUCUGUUAUUAGGAAAGCGGUACCUAAUCAGAAAGCCACGGCUAACUACGUGCCAGCAGCCGCGGUAAUUC